rnacentral:rRNA from 1 species
ACAAGCGUGGAUGAUGUGGAUUAAUUCGAUGCAACGCGAAAAACCCUUACUACCCUUGACAUGUCCGGAAUCCUGCAGAGAUGCGGGAGUGCCCGAAAGGGAAUCGGAACACAGGUGCUGCAUGGCUGUCGUCAGCUCGUGUCGUGAGAUGUUGGGUUAAGUCCCGCAACGAGCGCAACCCUUAUCAUUAGUUGCUACGCAAGGGCACUCUAAUGAGACUGCCGGUGACAACCGGAGGAAGUGGGGAUGACGUCAAGUCCUCAUGGCCCUUAUGGGUAGGGCUUCACACGUCAUACAAUGGUCGGUACAGAGGGUUGCCAAGCCGCGAGGCGGAGCCAAUCCCACAAAGCCGAUCGUAGUCCGGAUUGUUCUCUGCAACUCGAGAGCAUGAAGUCGGAAUCGCUAGUAAUCGCAGGUCAGCAUACUGCGGUGAAUACGUUCCCGGGUCUU